CUCUGCAGGUUUGCCAAAAUAACAGCCUCUGACGGUGGGUUCGCAUGAACACAGUCUAAUGGGGGAUGGAUUCACCUCUUUUUUUUGGAUAUUUUUUUUCUUUGCCUUUUUGCGUCUGCCUAUUGUUUAGGUGAAAGAUGUGGGUGUGUGCGGGUGUGUGUGUGUGUGUGUGUGUGUGUGUGUGUGUGUGUGUACACUUCACCAGCCCCCAUAGCAGUGGGAGAGGAGGAGACAACUGUAUGCGUGAGCAAUAUCGUUUUCCCCUCCCUCCACUUUUCUCUUACCCCCCACCACCUCCUCAUGCUUCUUUUCCUUCAUUGCCACGACCAUCAGGACCCAUUCUCCCUCUCCCCCUCUCUUUCUCACCAUCAUUCUGCUUGGUUAUGCAAUGCACAGUUCCCACACGGUGACUAACUGGUGCUGGAGACCUGCCGUAACACUGCUGUCACCGGUGGUAGGUGUAGAUCUAUUGUGACACAGCGACAGGCACUCAGGCUUCCUUAUGCCUCUACAGACAUCUCCUUGGGAUUUUCAUCUUUUUGCGUUUUCCAUGGAAUAUCACCUGCCAGACUCUGCCUAAUUUGGGGACCUGCCUGUUCUUGUUCAGCUCAGCGGAGGCUGGGUGUCACAGAGAUACAUUCAGCUCACCCUGCAGACAUAAUCACGCACAGUGUUGGCACGGGUGCUUCAAUGUUGAGAUUUUUUUUUAGUCCACUGAUCCCCAAAAGGAUGAGCUAGUGGAAGUGUGCUGAGAAACAAGGAGGUGUGUAGAUUUACAAACUGCGAAGGGAGCUGGUGUAGUUGUGUGGAGGAGUUUAGGCAAAGCAGGUAACUGGGAACUGGCGACCGAAAAGACGAAGCAGACAAAAAAAAAAAGGAUGGGAGGAAUGCUGGGGAGGUGGGUUGGAGGAACACCCGCUGCAAGCAUUUUAACAGCAGAAAUGUAAACCUGCUAAAUAUCACUGAAYGCAAACAUUUGCAACGGCAAACUUCAAGCAUUUUUUGGAAAGCGAGAUUGCAGAACUUUCCAGGUGGCGCUGUAGAACGAAGAAAAGAGAAGUGACACAAGGGGGUUUUCUUUCAAGACAGCAAAUUCAUCGCCGUUGUUGCACCCCUGCUUUCCAUUCUCCUCUUUAUUGCUUGGCGUGCUGCUUUAACUGCUGGGACUGAGACUACAUAUCCAAUCUUCUCCUGUUUCUACCCUGGGUCUAUGUAUGAUGUCUUUAAACCCACAUUUCUCCUGUGAGGACGUAAAAAGAAUGCCGGAUGAUGUUGUACACCAGAAACGUCUUAGGAUAAAUGCCCCCUUGCCAGGUUAGGUGAGCAUCAGGAUCAUGGGCACGACUGUCAUCACUCUUGAUGACGUGCGGGCACUGGAGGUCAAGGAAGAGCAGGAGGAGUCAAUCUUAGCCAUGUUGGGCAUCAUUGGUACUUUCCUUAACCUCUUUGUGAUUGUUUUUGUUUACAUUUACACCACAUUGUGAGGCGCAAAGGCUGAGAAAUACAAAAUACUUUGAAGAAUGUCAGAGUUAGCAGUAUUGAAAGACUGCUUAAUAGGAGACGUGUGACAUGAAUAUCUACCCCAGAGACAGGAGGAGAAAACUUAAAAACCUGAUAGAGGAUGAAGCGGAAGAAGAAGCCAUAUUGACAAACAACAGGCAUGCACUGGGAAGAUAACGAAGGGCUGGAGGACAUGGCAAGGGCAGAACAUUUCUGGAAGGUGGAUGAGAUGACCUGGAUGCAAACUGGGAAGCCACCAACCAAGACUGACCCAAACUGACCCCUCUAUGGCCUAAUAAAAGUAGAUACUUUACCUGGAUCUUAGAGUUUUAGACUGCUGGACCAAUAAUGAAGUCUUGUGGCAAAAACUAAUAGCCAACCAUUUACAUAUGCUUCAUUCUUCUUGAUGAUAGUGUCAUAGCUGCUUGUCUAGAAGGACAAGAUAAUUACAUGCAAACCCUGUAAAAACUGCAGGGAAGCUGUACCAAUCAGUUUUUAGGGCCAAAAAUGUUAAAUUGUGAAGGGUUUGUGUCAAACAGUAUAAGAAAAUGGCUGUACUCUCAUAAUUUUGAAAAUUUAAAAAUAAUCUUACAUUACCAUUAGGACAUUAUAUUUCAUAAAUGCUUAUCAUCCUGCUAAAUUUUGAUUUCAAGAAGGUCCUUUUCAAGACAAUUUUAAAAAAGAAAUUAUUUUUUGUAGAAUAUUUGUCUUCACAGAAGCAAGAAAUUCAGAAUCAUGAACAACUUGCAAAAUAACAAAUCAUAUUUGUAUAAAGAUGGAACUACCCUUUCAUUUUAUUUUCUGAACUUCAUCUUUUGUCUGCAAUUGAUGUUCAUAAAUGGUGUGUUGAGAGUGAAGGAUGAAAGAUUUUGUUUUCCAAAAAGGUGUUUCAGCAAUUUCUUUCCAAUAAUUAAAAUGCUUUUAAAAAAAUACAUAUCUGAAUAAAGAAUAAUUGUAUUGUGCAAUGGAGGACAGAGUGAAUUGAAAAGAUAAAGUUAACAAAAUAAUAAAAACAAAUUCCUUUGAGCUGUAUCUAACCAAGGUGUAUGUGAGAAAAUAUAUGUUCAGGAAUGUACAGUGAACAUGGUUUGAACAAGUCAUUUGUUUUCAAUGACAAGUGAAAAACAUUGCAGUAGUUUUAUGUUAUGACCUUUGUAUGUGCAUUCUGAACCCAGGAGGGUAAGUAUUGUUGGUUUUUGAGAAAAAAAUUAUUUUAAGUCAGAUCAACAGAAUGAAUGGGAUCACUUUCAUAAACUGGUGGUUCCCAACCUUGUCUGCUCAGAGGUUUUAAAAAUAUCAAUUUAUUAUUUUGUAUAUAUGACACGUUAUGUAUAACUCAGUUUAUUUUUUCCCCUUUUACAAAUAAAAAGUUUGUAACUACCAAUUUAUUCUUUUAUUAUUUUAAGAGAUAAAGGUUGUACAGGUGUUUAGGAGAAAUGGGAAGUCGGGAGAAAUGGGGAGUAACAAGGAAUGGGGGAGGGAACUCAGCUUGGUUUUGAAGUAUGAAAGGGGGGCUUUGAGGAAAAUAGGUUGGGAACCACUGAUCUAAAAACAUACUAUGUAUUUUUUUUUGGGGGGGGGGGGCACAAAAAUAUAUUGAAGUGACUCCAAACUUUAGCAUAUUUUUUGUAAGAAUAAACUGUGAAGGAAUCAUUUAUGGCCAUAUUUCUCAAAUUGUGAUACAAGUACCACUGAUAACAAGGUAAUCAGCCAUCCUAAUCUGAACUGUAAACUUUAACAUAAUGAGUAAGAAACAAAGAUGAGAAGUUGAAGCAAAAAAAUGAUCUUGGUUUAAAGAGAAACUUUUAAACAAAAUCACAAUGAAGAAAUUUUGUCAACCCCUGUAGAAACAGGUGGACAAUGGAUAAACAACUCUUAAGACUGUACCUUACAACCAGGAUCUGGUGCGUGUUUUCAUAUCGCAAUGGUUUCUCCUGAAUCCGUUCAAUGACCAAAACAGUUGAAGCACAGGCUGGUGCAUGAGCCCAUUUCUUUUAUUUAGCCCAUGAAAAAAAUACUGACUAAAUUAAAUAUAUAGACUGUUAAAAUCAUAAAGCUUAUUGUUUUUAAAUUUGUUGUUAGUAUAAGUUUGUUAGCUUAUACUGCUGGUCAUUCUGUUGGAACUUGGAGAGCUUAGUAUUUUCUAAGAUGGUACUAAUAAAAAAGUGUGAAAAGCUAUUAGUCUGUGGUUUUACAGCUGUGCAGAUAAUCACCUCUAAAUCCCGCAACCAUAUGGUCAAAGAGCCUAUUUGCCUGUAGUAAUGGAAUAUACAGUUCAAAUGUGAAUGGUGAUAAAUUGUGAAUUUAUAAGAAGAGUGUUACUGAAUAAAGGAAGUGCAGUGCUUCUAUAGUACCUUUCACAUUGUCAUGACUGCAAAAUAUGCCUUGUGCUGAGGGAAAUUGAAGUAAAUGUUUAUGAGUUUGUAAAAAUGAUGAUUUUCUAUGCAUGAGGUCAAGCACUUGUGCUUUUUAAUUCUUUUGUAAAACCUACAAAAAUUGCAAAUCAAAUAGUUGAUAAACAGAAUCAGGCAUAAUCUACGACAAAUUACCCUUUACCUUCAUGUAUUCAUACAAACAUUUAUUCAAUGUGUGUGUGUAAAACAGCACAUAGGUGCCAAGAAAUAUCCUGAUACAUGGUUGCAUUCUAGUGUCUCGAUUAAAUCUGGAGUAAAAUAUUCAUCAACCACCCUGAUUAUCCUCCAGCAUUAUGCUCAAGCUCACUUUAUAUAACAGAACCAAAACAGGCAUUUCAUCAAUAUUCUCAGGCUGAUGUCAAAGUGAAGCAGAGGUGUGAAAUGGUGGGUGCAGGAUGUAAACCCCCAAAAUACUUGAAACAUAUGGAAUCCAUUAAGUGACCAAAAAAUGUGCAACAAAUCUGGCCUUCAAUUAAGAUAAAUUAGCAUUGUAGUGACAUUCAAAGGUAUUACCUCUCAUUAAUGGCUUAGCUCCUAGUGAUGGAGUGCCAGGCAACAGUGGUAAAUGAUAAUGUAUCCUAAAAGGCUUUGCCAAGACAGUAAUGAUUAAUGUGGAAGAGCGGGCUUGGCUGAUGGACUGCAGAGCUCAGUGGCGAUGAAGGGAAGACCAGGAAGAAAUAAAACAUCUAUGUUUUGGUCGACAAGCCAAGACCAAAAGGCAAAUGGAAAGAUGUUGUGAGUAGUUAAGAGGAAUAAAGUUCCUCUUGACUAGGAUUUAUCUCUGCUGGGGAAACGGGGACAACAUGAAGCUGAAGUGAAUUUCUCCAAUUGUGCUUAUUACCAGUCUUGUAGACUGRCUUUAAAUUAUCUCAUAUAAAUGGAUUCAAUGUGAGUGUUAACAGUCUGAAAAGAAGAAAAAUCAAAAGCCAAUUAAGAAUCAAGUGUAUGGUUUUAUUUAAAGAGCAUAUGAAAAAUAUUAGAACUGACAAAAAUAUAAAAUGACAGGAGAAUGAAGUAGUGAAGUAAUUAAAUGAAAAGAAUUAGCACAGGCUGCUUGAGUGUAGCGGGUGGGGUGGGAUUCAUUUGGUGCCUGACAUUAUACAAUGCAUGGAUUACUUUGGAGCCAUUCCAGCUUACGUAAAAAAAAAAAUCAUAUGACCUAUAAUUAUCCACUAUGUUGGACAAGCUUUCUUUGUCAGUUUAUCUUGUGCGACUCCUGCUCUGGAAAACUCCCACCUAAAAUCAAUAACCUGCAUGAAUCAUCAGGCUAAACACCUGCCUUUCCAAUAUUUUCUAAAUUAAUU